rnacentral:rRNA from 1 species
UAGGGAAUCUUCCGCAAUGGGCGAAAGCCUGACGGAGCAACGCCGCGUGAGUGAUGAAGGUCUUCGGAUCGUAAAACUCUGUUAUUAGGGAAGAAUAAAUGUGUAAGUAACUAUGCACGUCUUGACGGUACCUAAUCAGAAAGCCACGGCUAACUACGUGCCAGCAGCCGCGGUAAUACGUAGGUGGCAAGCGUUGUCCGGAUUUAUUGGGCGUAAAGCGAGCGCAGGCGGUCAAUUAAGUCUGAUGUGAAAGCCCCCGGCUCAACCGGGGAGGGUCAUUGGAAACUGGUUGACUUGAGUGCAGAAGAGGAGAGUGGAAUUCCAUGUGUAGCGGUGAAAUGCGUAGAUAUAUGGAGGAACACCAGUGGCGAAGGCGACUCUCUGGUCUGUAACUGACGCUGAGGUUCGAAAGCGUGGGUAGCAAACAGG